rnacentral:rRNA from 1 species
UAUGUAGGGCGCAAGCGUUGUCCGGAAUUAUUGGGCGUAAAGAGCUCGUAGGCGGUUUGUCACGUCGGAUGUGAAAGCCCGGGGCUUAACCCCGGGUCUGCAUUCGAUACGGGCAGACUAGAGUGUGGUAGGGGAGAUCGGAAUUCCUGGUGUAGCGGUGAAAUGCGCAGAUAUCAGGAGGAACACCGGUGGCGAAGGCGGAUCUCUGGGCCAUUACUGACGCUGAGGAGCGAAAGCGUGGGGAGCGAACAGG